AUUGAACGCUGGCGGCAGGCCUAACACAUGCAAGUCGAGCGGAUGAAGGGAGCUUGCUCCUGGAUUCAGCGGCGGACGGGUGAGUAAUGCCUAGGAAUCUGCCUGGUAGUGGGGGAUAACGUCCGGAAACGGGCGCUAAUACCGCAUACGUCCUGAGGGAGAAAGUGGGGGAUCUUCGGACCUCACGCUAUCAGAUGAGCCUAGGUCGGAUUAGCUAGUUGGUGGGGUAAAGGCCUACCAAGGCGACGAUCCGUAACUGGUCUGAGAGGAUGGUCAGUCACACUGGAACGGAGACACGGUCCAGACUCCUACGGGAGGCAGCAGUGGGGAAUAUUGGACAAUGGGGGAAAACCUGAUCCAGCCAUGCCGCGUGUGUGAAGAAGGUCUUCGGAUUGUAAAGCACUUUAAGUUGGGAGGAAGGGCAGUAAGUUAAUACCUUGCUGUUUUGACGUUACCAACAGAAUAAGCACCGGCUAACUUCGUG
rnacentral:rRNA from 1 species